CUGAAUUCAGAAAAAUAUCUAUCUAAUUUAUAACGAAAGAAAAAUAUACCUCUUUCAGUAGAAAGUUAAAAUAUCUAAUCAGGACUGUAAUAGUCAUUAUGGUUUUGUCAAGUCAGAUAACAACGUACAGGGUAGAGGAUACAAAGUGGCAAUAAAUAACAACAAUUUAAAGACAAAACAGACAAAAUAAUGACCUCAAGAAAAAGGGACAAACAGAUCAACAUCAGUCCACAAAACACUACACAGAAAAUAAAAAAAAUGACUGAACAAACACCCCACGAAAACCAGGAUGAACUUGCUGCAUCUGCUGUGUUACUCCUGUUAAAAUACACUGACAAGUAAUAGUCAGUCACACUUUAGGCAUCUUACAAUAACAGACCAAUUGCUUCCAACCAUUGAUAGGAAAAUUUUUAUUGCUGGUGAGAACAGGUGUUCAGGAUAAUGGCAGAAAUUUAUUAUAUACCUAAGCCUCACCAAAUUCCUUACAUACAACAGUACAUUGCCUGC
rnacentral:lncRNA from 1 species